CGCCAGACUCCUACGGGAGGCAGCAGUGAGGAAUAUUGGGCAAUGGAGGCAACUCUGACCCAGCCAUGCCGCGUGAGUGAAGAAGGUUUUCGGAUUGUAAAGCUCUUUCGGAUGUGACGAUGAUGACGGUAGCAUCUAAAGAAGCCCCGGCUAACUUCGUGCCAGCAGCCGCGGUAAUACGUAUGGUGCAAGCGUUAUCCGGAUUUACUGGGCGUAAAGGGAGCGCAGGCGGCGCGCCAAGUCUGAUGUGAAACCCCGGGGCUCAACCCCGGGCAUGCAUUGGAAACUGGCGGGCUGGAGUGCCGGAGAGGUAAGCGGAAUUCCUAGUGUAGCGGUGAAAUGCGUAGAUAUUAGGAGGAACACCAGUGGCGAAGGCGGCUUACUGGACUGUAACUGACGUUGAGGCUCGAAAGCGUGGGGAGCAAACAGGAUUAGAUACCCGCGUAUC
rnacentral:rRNA from 1 species